rnacentral:tRNA from 1 species
ACUUUGAUGGCCGAGGAAUAAAGGCGAUAGACUGUAGAUCUAUUCACGAGACCAAUACUCUCAGAGAA